CUGACGCAGCGACGCCGUGUGCGGGAUGAAGGAGCUUCCCUCUGUAAACCGCUGUCGGGAGGGACUAAAAGCUCCGCUACGGGGCUGGGACGGUACCUCCAAAGGAAGGACCGGCUAACUACGUGCCAGCAGCCGCGGUAAUACGUAGGGUCCAAGCGUUGUCCGGAUUUACUGGGUGUAAAGGGUGCGUAGGCGGGUCUGUGCGUCAGAGGUUAAAGAUCCCGGCUUAACCGGGAAAGUGCCUUUGAUACGGCAGGUCUUGAGUGUAGAUGAGGAUGAUGGAAUUCCUGGUGUAGCGGUGAAAUGCGUAGAUAUCAGGAGGAACACCGGAGGCGAAGGCGGUCAUCUAAUCUACUACUGACGCUGAGGCACGAAAGCGUGGGGAGCAAACAGGAUCAGAUACCCUGGUAGUCCACGCCCUAAACGAUGUAUGCUUGGUGUUAGAUGCUUGUCAUCUAGUGCCGGAGGUAACCCGUUAAGCAUACCACCUGGGGAGUACGAUCGCAAGGUUGAAACUCAAAGGGAAUUGACGG
rnacentral:rRNA from 1 species